rnacentral:rRNA from 1 species
AACGAACGCUGGCGGCAUGCCUAACACAUGCAAGUCGAACGAGACCUUCGGGUCUAGUGGCGCACGGGUGCGUAACGCGUGGGAACCUGCCUUUAGGUUCGGAAUAACUCAGAGAAAUUUGAGCUAAUACCGGAUAAUGUCUUCGGACCAAAGAUUUAUCGCCUUUAGAUGGGCCCGCGUAAGAUUAGCUAGUUGGUGGGGUAAAGGCCUACCAAGGCGACGAUCUUUAGCUGGUCUGAGAGGAUGAUCAGCCACACUGGGACUGAGACACGGCCCAGACUCCUACGGGAGGCAGCAGUGAGGAAUAUUGGACAAUGGGCGCAAGCCUGAUCCAGCCAUGCCGCGUGCAGGAUGACGGUCCUAUGGAUUGUAAACUGCUUUUGUACAGGAAGAAACACUGGUUCGUGAACCAGCUUGACGGUACUGUAAGAAUAAGGAUCGGCUAACUCCGUGCCAGCAGCCGC